UACGUAGGGGGCAAGCGUUGUCCGGAUUUAUUGGGCGUAAAGAGCGUGUAGGCGGCCUGAAAGGUCAGCUGUGAAAACUCGAGGCUCAACCUCGAGACGUCGGUUGAAACCAUCUGGCUAGAGUCCGGAAGAGGAGUGUGGAAUUCCCGGUGUAGCGGUGAAAUGCGCAGAUAUCGGGAAGAACACCCGUGGCGAAGGCGGCACUCUGGGACGGUACUGACGCUGAGGAGCGAAAGCGUGGGGAGCGAACAGG
rnacentral:rRNA from 1 species